ACGAUAUGCAUUCAGCCCAGCGCCCACAGCCCAAUCCACCAUCAAAAUAAUACCCUGUUCAAGCCGUUCGGCUGUGUUGGGCAGGUGAAACAUUACCCUCUCCUCUUCGGCGGCAGUUCCGCUCUUCCACGACUGACGAGUGACGACCAAUCGACCACUUCCUCCGGCGACGGGAGCCAUAGAGCGACGGCGACAGGAGAGCCUCCCGUACGGUACAUUGUUUGUGUACAAAUCCUCUUCGGCUCUUCCAGUCCUCUCCCUGAGGGCUGCUGAAACUGAGACAGAGCUCGAGGUCAAAAAGAUAAAGCUCGGUGACGGUGAGUUACGACCAGUGGAAGUCUGGACUAGUAUAUACUAUAUAUGACCAGUAUAUAUACAUUGCAGAGUCUCAGAGUAUAUAUCUCCCAUUCACUUGCAAGGCUUCACACCCGUAAGUAUUCACUUAUUAUGCAGAGCACUGGCUGGUGUGCUUAGAUUUUUACUUAUGGUGUGCUUAGAUUUUUACUUACGUUGAUAAAUGCAGAGCACUGGCUGGUGUGCUUAGAAUUGCUUUUAUGAUGUUAAAUUCAGCUUACUGGCUGGUGUGCUUAGAAUAGGUUUAAAAUGUUGGUUCUUAUAAAUUACAAUCUUACUCUUUUAGGUUUUGAAUUAUAAUGGAACAUCAAAUUAAAAAGGGAGGAAAAACUUUUGUCGUUCUUCAAACCAAGAGUGAAUAUAUCAGAAAGUGAUGCUCCUUCCUAGUCCAAUGUUGAUACUUAAAUUACCGAUGAACACUUGUUGAAGAUAUUGACUCAAAUUCGAUAAUAAAUGAUUUCUACUCUGUGAAACAUCAUAGGAUACAACUUCAAAAGUGUACAUUUUUUGUACUUUUCUUUUGUUUGUUUUUGAACAUUUACGUAUUUAAUAUAAGUUUGCCUCUUUUUUGUUGGUAUAUACAUAUAUAAUUUCGGUCAACCCAAGAUAGAAUUAAUUCUUGGUUCCGCCUCUCUUUGCCACUCCUCCCCAGUAAUUGGCUCUGCCAUUGGGCCCAACACCAAUGCGGAUAGAGGUGUUCGUAGGACAGCAAGCCUGUUUUGAUAACUGGUAUCAUGGAUCGAGGAGAGAAAAAAAAAUGAUACCCAAGUAAUGGAGAUGUUAUUACAACAAAAAAGAAGAGCAUUAGCUAAUUAGCACUUGAAUGUAAACUUAUUGAAAUUAGGCAUUUAAUAAAUUCUCAUUAUUUUCAUUGACGAAGCAUUAAUUGAUAUACUGAUUACUGAGGGAAAUUACUGUCUCUCCAUAUAGUGCAUAUCUUCUCAGAGAAUUUUAUUAGUAAUUAGGCACCACUAGUACUAUUUGAGGUGGCAGUCAUAGGCGCAACUUUAGGCACAGACUUCAUAUUUCGUUGAAUCUGCAACAUUAACAACUAACAUAAGUAUAAAAAAAUGCACCAAUAUAUAUUGCAUUCAUAACAGAUGUGCUAGGAAACACAAACCAGUCCUAGAAUUCAUAGAUUCCCACCGAAAGAAAAA